UACGUAGGGUGCAAGCGUUGUCCGGAUUUAUUGGGUUUAAAGGGUGCGUAGGUGGUUUGAUAAGUCCGGGGUGAAAGCCCACAGCUCAACUGUGGAACUGCCCUGGAUACUGUCAGACUUGAGGGUAGACGAGGUUGGCGGAAUAGAAGGUGUAGCGGUGAAAUGCAUAGAUACCUUCUAGAACCCCGAUUGCGUAGGCAGCUGACUAGGCUACACCUGACACUGAGGCACGAAAGCGUGGGGAGCGAACAGG
rnacentral:rRNA from 1 species